rnacentral:rRNA from 1 species
UACGUAGGCAGCGAGCGUUGUUCGGAUUCAUUGGGCGUAAAGGGUGCGUAGGCGGCGCGGUAAGUCGGGUGUGAAAUCUCGGGGCUUAACUCCGAAACUGCAUUCGAUACUGCCGUGCUUGAGGACUGGAGAGGAGACUGGAAUUUACGGUGUAGCGGUGAAAUGCGUAGAUAUCGUAAGGAAGACCAGUGGCGAAGGCGGAUCUCUGGACAGUUACUGACACUGAGGCACGAAGGCCAGGGGAGCAAACGGGG